rnacentral:rRNA from 1 species
CACGUAGUUAGCCGUGACUUUCUGGCGGGGCACCAUCUGUCAUCUACCAUUUCCUGUAGUUGCCUUUUUUCCCCCGCAACAGAGCUUUACGACCCGAAGGCCUUCUUCACUCACGCGGCAUCGCUCGUUCAGGCUUGCGCCCAUUGACGAAAAUUCCCUACUGCUGCCUCCCGCAGGAGUCUGGGCCGUGUCUCAGUCCCAAUGUGGCCGUCCGCCCUCUCAGGCCGGCUAUGCAUCAUCGUCUUGGUGGGCCUUUACCCUCGCCAACCAACUAAUGCACCGCAGGUCCAUCCGCGCCCCAUCCCUUACAGGAUGUUUCACAGAAAGAAGAUGCCUCCUUCCUGUACAUCGGGAUUUGUUCUCCGUUUCCAGAGCGUAUUCCCGGUGCGCGGGCAGGUUCCCUACGUGUUACUCACCCGUUCGCCACUAGGAUCCACAAGGAUCCUCGUUCGACUUGCAUGUAUUAGGCAUGCCGCCAGCGUUCAUCCUGAGCCAGGAU